UGGGGGAUAUUGCACAAUGGGCGAAAGCCUGAUGCAGCGACGCCGCGUGGGGGAUGAAGGCUUUCGGGUUGUAAACCUCUUUCGCUAUCGAACAAGGCCCGCUUAGGGUGGGUUGAGGGUAGGUGGAGAAGAAGCGCCGGCUAACUACGUGCCAGCAGCCGCGGUAAUACGUAGGGCGCGAGCGUUGUCCGGAAUUAUUGGGCGUAAAGGGCUUGUAGGCGGCUUGUUGCGCGUGCUGUGAAAACGCGGGGCUUAACUUCGCGCGUGCAGUGGGUACGGGCAGGCUUGAGUGUGGUAGGGGUGACUGGAAUUCCAGGUGUAGCGGUGGAAUGCGCAGAUAUCUGGAGGAAAACCGAUGGCGAAGGCAGGGCACUGGGCCAUUACUGACGCUGAGGAGCGAAAGCAUGGGUAGCGAACAGG
rnacentral:rRNA from 1 species